GCUGUGUUCGCAUGCUCUUCACCCUGCUCCUGCCCACUCUGCUUUUCACCUGCCCCCUGAUAACCCAUUCAGUCCUGAAAGGUCCUUAGUGUCUGGAUUUCAUCAUCCAGCCCUGCAGGAUGCUCCCAUUUCUGCCGAGGAUGGCUGUCCCAGACAGAGAGGAGGAGAUGGAGGUAGAUACAAAGAUUGAUACGGAGGAGGAGAUGGAAAUAGACGGAGAAGACCCUGGAGAGGAAGAGAUGGAUGUGGAUGUGGAGGAAGAAGAAGAGAUGGACGUGUAUGUGGAUGAGGAAGAAGAGAUGGAUGUGGAUAUGGAAGAGUCCAUUGAGGACAUGGAUAUUGAUUAAAAAGGUGCAAUGGACAGCACAGACAGAGACACCCGCCUUUGUAUAUAUGUUCUUCAUUUUGUUGUUGUUCUUUAGAAUGUAGAUUGUAGGGCUAUUUUUGACUUCUGUAAACACGUUUCACAUAUUUUUGUU